GUUCAUUCUGCUUUGCUCGCUGUCAAUGCAGAUUAUUGACUGCUGCUUGCAGCCAUGUUGCUCUUUAUGGUCUUCUCCGACAGCACCCCGAGUUGCAGUCUCCAAAUGUUCUCCUCUGCCAUCAGGUGCAUGUGACCAUGGACAAUUUUCCACCUGCUCCUUGCUGGAAAAUGGCAGAUGUCUACUGAGGACAUACGUCUGAAACCAGGGCUCACUUAAGGAGCAGACUACAGAAGCCAAUUAACGUACAAAACCCGCCGCACAUCUUUGGGAUAUGGAAGGAAACAGGAGCACCCAAAGGAAACCCAUAUGGUCACAGGAGAACGUGCUAUCCCCAAACAGCCAGACCUCGAGGUCAGGAAUGAACCAUGCUCUCUGGUGCUGUGAGGCAGCAGCUCUACCAGCUACAUCACUGUGACACCGUUCUUUUUUUUAACAUUUCCAAUUCUCGCUGACAGUAGAGGGUCUUCAUUUUGCAGGCCUCUUGGGAUCCGCUUGCUCUUCAGUCAUUCCCGAAGAAUUUCCGAUCCCACACUGGGUGACGCAAGAUUCCAGCACCACAAGCAUUGUGCUUGUCCUGCUAUUCAAUACUUGCUCCUUGCAUGACUUCCUAGAUACUGAACCCUUCAGAAUGGGUUUGCUGACUAACAUUUAACAAGAAUCUGACAAUGAUACCUGCACCUGAAGAAACACAACAUGCAAGUUACAGAUACUUGCAGGACAAGUCCUAUAGCCCUUGCAAAGAAUCAUUCAACAAGCACAAGCAGACAAAUUGAGCUACUUACAAAUUGCUUUUUUUUUUAAAAAGGCAUUUUGGAGAGGUUGGAAUUAGUUUUGAAUUGCAGCUUGUCAUCCUUGCCAAAGGCCUGUCACCAGGAAUUCAAAACAGGAAGCUAGUUGUUGGUGCCUAGCCACCUAUGAUCAGAUUCACAGUGCGUUGUUUGGAAUGCAAGGUGAUAAGCAGCAAUAAAGUCAGUAUGGGGUCAUAUUGCCUGUGUGUGAUCUUGUAAAACAAGCAGAUGACAAGUUUCCAACACGUUUUACAUCUGUCCCUUUUUUUAAAAUUUCCACAGAAGUUAACAUCACCUAUUUUAGGAAGGCGACUCCGGACUGUCAAAGCUGCCACAGCCAGACAUAAAAACAGUUUUUAUCCACGAGUAGUUGCUCUAUUCAACAGCCAAAAAUCUGUAGCCUCCCUUUGAUCUGGUAUUUUGUUGGUUCACAUGCUUGAUCAAUGGUGUUUUAUCAUUAAUGUUUUAUUAUUAUUAAUGUAUAGUGUUUUCUGAGUCAUUCGUAACUGUCACUGUAUGUCAUAUGUUGUUACUUGUGGGCGGAGCACCAAGGCAAAUUCCUUGUAUGUGAAUACUUGGCCAAUAAACUUACUUACUUACUUACUUUGCACAAAAUCAACAUUACAUCUCUACCCCCCUUGAUCUGCCUUCACAAACCUGGCAAUGUAUCAUUGAAAAGACACCGUGAUGAUACUGUGCUCG